CCGUAUACUAUAUUUGACGCACUUUAAUCUACAUUGAACAGAAGUAAAGUAAGUUCUUGGCAUGUUUGGUACAAUAAUGCUUCUCUUCAGUUUUUGUGCCCAAUAACCAACAUUGUCAUGUAAUGCAUUGCUUGCUACAGGUUCCGUAAAAUGGCAGCGGGUAGAGUUCUUGUCCUGCACAAAGGAAGGUAACUAACCUUCUUGUAUUAUCUUUAUAUAUCUGCAUGAUUUUGGUGGAAGCAACAGAACAAUUUGAAAUGCAUUGAGUUGUGCAAUGGAUUAACUACUUUGGUUCAAGUUGUCUUCUUCCUAGGCUGGUCGAGAUUAAGAAAAGCAAAAAAAAAAAAAAAAAGAAUAGGAGAGUAGAUGAAACCACACAGAAAAGCAUAGAGUCAGGGGACAACAUGAAAAUGUUGCUUUGGCCUGGCAGCAUCAUCUCGUGCUCCAUUUGUAGUAUUUUUUCUCGGAUACAAAUCUUAUUUCUCAUACGCCACUGACAAGACAAACUUGCUUGGAGUUUUGGCUCCAGGGAGCAUAUACUCCCUGGUGAACAGUAAAUAGAAAACAAAAUCCUGAAGAUGGAUCUUGUUUUGUAAACACAAUAAAUUUUCAAAAUCCUGAAGCUUUUCUAUAGACCUUCAUGUUAGUAUAACAAGCGUGCUUGCCAAUUAUCUCGGUCUACUCCUUGCUCUUGCUUUGGUGUUAUCUGUCUAUUUCUCUCCAUACAGUUUCACCCUGACAUGAAAAGCUAGUUCUUAUUAUCCAUGUCAUUUAUUUUUGUAUGCAUUGGUAACGCUCAUAUGUAUAUAUGUGCUAAUCAAAUAUUUGGAUUUUGAACCACCAGACCAUUCAAAUAAAUGUAUGGACUCUCACCUAAAUAUAACUAAAUGGCAGGGAUAGUUCCAUCAGUACAUGCUUGAGGAACACUAUGUUUGACAACCAAGAUAGGUUUGUGCCAAGUACUGAUUUGUGAAAAGUAUAUAUACAAACUGAAGAUAGUUCCAUCAGUAUAUAUAGAAACUAAAGAUAGUCAACUAAGUGCAUAUAAGUGCAUACUGGAUUCCAUAUCAAUUAUGUACCACAGUUAUUUUAACAAGCUCUUGAUAAUUAAAAAAAGGAACACUAUGGAGCUAAUCUGAAACCGCACAAUCAUAUUCGUGCUGCAUUUAUUCUGAUAGCGUUGCUUGUUGAAUAGAAAUCAUGUAUAUAUCAAAUUAUCCUCCUUAGCCAUGUUCUUGGUACAGGUUACUUCGGUAGAACGUCGGAAAAAUUAUAGCCGGGGUUAGGAUACCUCUCGAGAAGCAGUAAGUUUUCGAAAGGGUUGAAUGUAUACAUAUGUCAAGCCUUGCUAUGCAUUGGUUGUAUACUUAAAGCAGUUUAAUCUAAUACUUUGAACAGGUAUAUGCCUCGCUAGCACACAAGAACAGUCAGGACCAUGUACGAAUCGGACGAACAGUUGGGGCUAUGUCACACCACCAAUCGAACAGUUGUAUAGUUAACCCAGUCUCUUCCCGCAUUAGUUUAACCAGAAGCGAACUGUGUACAGGUUACUAACCUGUGUCUCGCUCGCAGCCGCGCCGGGACCUGUGUCUCGCUCGCAGCCGCGCCGGCACCCGUGGAUCGCUGGAAGCCUCGCCGGCACCCGUGUCUCACUGGCAGCCGCGCCGGCACCGGGGGCAAAGUUUGAAGAAACAGGCCUCACACACCUGAUCCGACGGCAAACUUUGAAGAAACAGUUCAAAUCCACAUGAUCCAAAUGCAAACCUGGAAGAGUGGAGAAUCAGGCCUUGACUGCCCCGCUCGAAAGAUGGGAUUUGAAAAUUAUUUGUUGUAUAUGGAAAGAGAAAAAAUAUUAGAUUAAACUGUUGUUUAUGGAAGCUUCUCGUGACGGAAUUUUCCGAUAUGAUUCCAUAUGAUUUGAUUUGAUUGGUGUCGUAAAUUGAAGGGAAGGAUGGAAGGGUUGUUGUUUUAUAUGGAAGGGGAUGGAACGUUUGGCUUGGUUCUUGUGAUGCAUGAAAGAAAACAGGUCUCAGUUUUCGGUGGGAAGAAAAAAAUCGGUGGGGGGAGGGAUCGCCUGGUGCCGUGAUCGAUGGGACGGUGGGAACGAACGAAGCGAACGAACGACUUACGUACUGAGACAUUAGAA
rnacentral:lncRNA from 1 species